GUGUCAGCCGCCGCGGUAAUACGUAGGUGGCAAGCGUUGUCCGGAUUUACUGGGCGUAAAGGGCGUGCAGGCGGUUUGUUAAGUCUAGGGUGAAAGCUCCCGGCUCAACUGGGAGAGGUCCUUGGAUACUGGCAGACUUGAGGAGGGUAGAGGAGAGUGGAAUUCCCGGUGUAGUGGUGAUAUGCGUAGAUAUCGGGAGGAACACCAGUGGCGAAGGCGGCUCUCUGGGCCCUACCUGACGCUGAGACGCGAAAGCGUGGGGAGCGAACCGGAUUAGAUACCCGGGUAGUCCACGCCGUAAACUAUGAACACUAGGUGUGGGGGGUAUCGACCCCCUCCGUGCCGAAGCUAACGCAAUAAGUGUUCCGCCUGGGGAGUACGGCCGCAAGGCUAAA
rnacentral:rRNA from 1 species